rnacentral:rRNA from 1 species
UUUGGAGAGGAUGCUUCGGGUACGGUCCCCAUCUAAGUGCCCUGGAACGGGCCGUCAUAGAGGGUGAGAAUCCCGUCUGGGAUGGGUGACCGGGCCCGUGUGAAGCUCCUUCGACGAGUCGAGUUGUUUGGGAAUGCAGCUCUAAAUGGGUGGUAAAUUUCAUCUAAAGCUAAAUAUUGGCCGGAGACCGAUAGCGCACAAGUAGAGUGAUCGAAAGAUGAAAAGCACUUUGAAAAGAGAGUUAAACAGCACGUGAAAUUGUUGAAAGGGAAGCGCUUGCGACCAGACUCGGUCAGGGGGUUCAGCCGGUACUCGUACCGGUGCACUUUCCCCUGGCUGGGCCAGCGUCGGUUUGGGCGGCCAGUUAAAGGCCCCGGGAAUGUGUCGCCCUUCAGGGCGUCUUAUAGCCCGGGGCGCAAUGUGGCCAGCCCGGACUGAGGAACGCGCUUCGGCUCGGACGCUGGCAUAAUGGUCGUAAGCGGCCCGUCUUGAAACACGGACCAAGGAGUCUAACAUCCACGCGAGUGUUCGGGUGUCAAACCCGUCCGCACAGUGAAAGCGAACGGAGGUGGGAACCCCUUUGGGGUGCACCAUCGACCGAUCCUGAUGUCUUCAGAUGGAUUUGAGUAAGAGCGUGGCUGUUGGGACCCGAAAGAUGGUGAACUAUGCCUGAAUAGGGCGAAGCCAGAGGAAACUCUGGUGGAGGCUCGCAGCGGUUCUGACGUGCAAAUCGAUCGUCAAAUUUGGGUAUAGGGGCGAAAGAC